GGGGGGCGGCGUGCUAUACAUGCAGUCGAACGAACUCUGGUAUUGAUUGGUGCUUGCAUCAUGAUUUACAUUUGAGUGAGUGGCGAACUGGUGAGUAACACGUGGGAAACCUGCCCAGAAGCGGGGGAUAACACCUGGAAACAGAUGCUAAUACCGCAUAACAACUUGGACCGCAUGGUCCGAGUUUGAAAGAUGGCUUCGGCUAUCACUUUUGGAUGGUCCCGCGGCGUAUUAGCUAGAUGGUGGGGUAACGGCUCACCAUGGCAAUGAUACGUAGCCGACCUGAGAGGGUAAUCGGCCACAUUGGGACUGAGACACGGCCCAAACUCCUACGGGAGGCAGCAGUAGGGAAUCUUCCACAAUGGACGAAAGUCUGAUGGAGCAACGCCGCGUGAGUGAAGAAGGGUUUCGGCUCGUAAAACUCUGUUGUUAAAGAAGAACAUAUCUGAGAGUAACUGUUCAGGUAUUGACGGUAUUUAACCAGAAAGCCACGGCUAACUACGUGCCAGCAGCCGCGGUAAUACGUAGGUGGCAAGCGUUGUCCGGAUUUAUUGGGCGUAAAGCGAGCGCAGGCGGUUUUUUAAGUCUGAUGUGAAAGCCUUCGGCUCAACCGAAGAAGUGCAUCGGAAACUGGGAAACUUGAGUGCAGAAGAGGACAGUGGAACUCCAUGUGUAGCGGUGAAAUGCGUAGAUAUAUGGAAGAACACCAGUGGCGAAGGCGGCUGUCUGGUCUGUAACUGACGCUGAGGCUCGAAAGUAUGGGUAGCAAACAGGAUUAGAUACCCUGGUAGUCCAUACCGUAAACGAUGAAUGCUAAGUGUUGGAGGGUUUCCGCCCUUCAGUGCUGCAGCUAACGCAUUAAGCAUUCCGCCUGGGAGUACGGCCGCAAGGCUGAAACUCAAAGGAAUUGACGGGGGCCCGCACAAGCGGUGGAGCAUGUGGUUUAAUUCGAAGCUACGCGAAGAAUCGUUACCAGGUCUUGACAUACUAUGCUAAUCUAAGAAGAUUAGACGUUCCCUUUCGGGACAUGCAUACAGGUGUUGCAUGGGUUGUCAGUCAGCUCGUGUCGUGAGAUGUUUGGGUUAGGUCCCGCCAACGAGCGCAACCAUUAUUAUCAGUGGCAGCAAUAGCUAGGCACCUCUGGGUCGAACUGCAGUGACCAAGCGCAGAACGUAGGCAAUGAACAGUCAGUCAUCAUGCCAUAGACUUGGCUUACACGGUGCUG
rnacentral:rRNA from 1 species